CAAAAUCAGCAGGUCAGGCUUUUUAAAGAUCGGUAACCAGGGAUCAGCCAGAAAACUGCAGUUGGUGCAGCCAAACUUAAGAUGGAAUACAUACACACACAUUCAUGACAUUCUUUGAUUAAAUACAUUUCUCUUAAGCGUUACUCAAAUACCUAAAACUUUUAUUUAUACUGGUUGAGUCUUUCUCCUCUGAGAAUGUGGAUUUGAACUGGACUGAUUCUGAGUCUUCAAAUGAUUUUAACAUAAGUUUCACAUAACUUAGAAUUGAUGUAAAAAUAAUGUUUGUUUAAAGCCACAAAAUGAUUUUGCUCAGCAACAAACAACAAAUCACCAACUACAGCUUAGAGCAGCUCAUCGAUGUAGCAGCCAUGUAGCCUGACGUAAAAAAAACAUUUUGCUAGACAAUGUCAAACAUUGAGAAGUUUUAAUUAUGAAAUAUGAAUAUGAAACGUUAUCAAACACGCUUUUUUCAAGCCAAAAAUACCUCAGAAAUAUACCAUGAGAAUUGACUCAUUAAAAGUUUAAACUCAGUUUCAUACUCAAGUAAAUGUAACUGUUACUACGCAACUCUGCAGGGUCAAAGUUCUUCUGGACAACGCAGCUCAAGCUGGACCAGUCAGUCGGUCGGUCAGGGUGCUAACAGCUGCUAACUGAGCGCUGCUCCAACCUGAUCACGACGUUUUCUGUCGGGCUCGAUUUAAACUGAUGGAGUCGAUGAAAAGAGAAGAGAUUCUGACCACCAUCCUGGACUGACCUCAUUUGGCCCAAGGUCACGUUCACUGCAAUACCGUGAAUGGAGGAUUCUAUGCAGCCAGCAGGAGAAAAGUGUCAGCUGACAGAUUAUUAGGCGCAACCAAACUGCAUGUCAGGAACUCCAGGCAGAUUUUACCACUUAUUCAUCUCAUCGGCCGAACAAAAGAGUUUCUAUAAACUGGGCGAAGGAAAAAAACAUUUUCAGAGACGGACUGAUCACGUCCGUCACACUUGUCAGAGUUAGGAAUUAAACUCUAGUAAUCAGAAUCAAACACUCUGACUUCUUGUCACAGUUUUUUGUUGUUUCUUGAAGGCGUGUGUGAGGGGAAUGAAAAAGUUAAAAUUUUACUUAUAUGGACCUGAUCAUUUAAUUUCCCUUCGAGAUCAAUAAACUACUUUUAGAAUUUGAAUUUGAUUUAGAAUUGUUUUAUUUCGUCACAUUCUUGCUCUAUUUUAUUUUUAUGACCUGAACAGAUGGAAAAAAGGGAUCCAUUUGUCCACGUUGGAUUAAACGAAGCUGUCUCCGUUAUUUUUCCUGCAUUAUUUACAAACUUUUUUGUGGAGAUUAAAAAGGCAAACUCUAUAGGAAAUAGAGUUUCCUAUAGACCACAAUUAAAAAUAAAUAAAUAAAUUAGCUGUGUCUGUGCUUUCCAGCAGUUUUUGUAGAAUUUACUUUGUGAAUGAUCAAUAAAUCGUUUCAGAAAUUCAAAUCAGCUCAUUCAGAGAGAAACUGUUGGGUCCAAACACAGGAAAAUCUUAGUCUGAAUCUGGGUCGCUGGCUUAUUACUGACUCAUAAGGCCAUCGGAGUAUUAAAAUCAGGCCUGUUGCUGUGUUGGGGAUGAUGUUUACAAUCUUUGCAACGCCCACACAAAGCAGCAGCCUAGAAAUACACCAACCCUGUGAAUGUAAUCAAACCUGGACGGCAGGAUCAGUGGAAAGCCUUCCUGCUUCUCACCAGGCGAAAACUUCAAACUCCAAACAGAUAGCAAGAGAAAUACUCCAUACCAUUUUAAUACCCUAGCAACUUUAUUUUGGAGACACUGGGUUCAUUCUAGUUAAGAGCAAAAAAUAUGAUUAAUUACAAUAUGACAAAAUUCCUUUAUUAGGGCAAAACAAAUACUAAUGUGACACAAGACCAUAGGGAUAUUUUCUUGUGUUGCCCCCUUACUGUACAGUCUCUAGUUUUGUCUUAUAAAUACAUUUAUAUAUAAUUAUAUAAGACAUGGGAACUCCACAUGCUGUGUAGCGAUGCGCCGAUGCACUUUUUUCACUACCGAUACCUGAGGUUUAGUAUCCGCAGAAAUAUUUAGCGAUAUUAUACAUAUUUUACUGCCUUUUCAACACCUUUGGAAAAAACCUGGCCAGAAACAGAUAAAAAUAAAUGUUGUUUGUUUAUAUUGGGCCGAUACCGAUAUAUUAAAAAAUGACUAAUAUCGGCCAGUACCGAUCUCGGUGCCGAUAUGGAGUUCAUCCCUACUUAAAACGUUUCCGUUUUUUCAAACACAGACAUAAAGGUACUGAAGUGCGAAUCAAUUUGAUAACUCUGCGCCAGUACAGCAAACUGAAACACACCAACAGCUUUACAAGCUCAAACACGUAAAAACAACUUUCAUUUGCUCAGUCACUGCAUUUAGGAGAAGAACAGCCAAUGUACAAUAAAAAAUAAAGAAACCGACAAAUAUUGUUUGACAAAUGCUUCCAAAGAAUUUCUCUGUGGAGGAUUUUCUGUAAGCCUGCAGGCGGCGAUGCAGUGAGCUUUGCAGGCCAUGGACUUCCCACUAGAGACCCACCAAUCUGAUAUUAAUAUAUUUUUUUCAGCAGCUAUCCGAUAUUUUAAAAAUUCCCGAUCGGUUACCAGUGACAACGUGCCUGAUGCAUAAGGACAGACCUGUUGAAUCUACUGCUAUUCUUUGUGCUUUGUUAUUUAUUCUACGUUAUAUUUAGAAAUCCUAAUUGCACUUUCUGAGCCAUUGGAAAUAAUUUAUUUGCACAUGUUUGCCCAAAGUAAUCAAACUAUUGUUUAUGCUGAAAGAACACAAACCUCAAUUCUCCUGCAAAAUACAUUUGUAGCAAACAAUCUGCUGAUGGCGUGCAAAAUACGAGCCAAUCAGACGCCUGUAAACAUACAGAGAUCCUCUCAGACAGCGACGGAGGCCAGAAUCUCAAGAUAAACUUCAUAUUCUCUGUUUUAAAACAACGAUGAAAACAUGUUUCUCUGUCCGAGGAGUGAAACUGUGAAACAGUCUCAGUGAAGUCCAGGGUACUCCAAACAUCACUCGCUUUAAAAAGUUUAGAUAUUUCACUGGAACUAUAUUUAGCUCAGGCUCUCACUUAUUUAGUGGUCAUGUGUUUUGUAAUGUAUUUUUUAAAUGCACGUAUUUGAACAUUAAUAUCAUAUCUUUGUCUCUACUCUCUCAACUAUUUCUCAAUCUGCGUCCCGCAAACGCACCGGAGGACGGACACAACGGACAGGAUCCCUACCCAGCUUGAAGAGCAAAUUGUUACAGAAUGUUUCCAGUAGCGAUGUGCGGAUUGAAAUCGAAACAUAAAGAUUUAUAUGCUUUACGAUCGAUUCUCAAAUCCAAGCAUCAACACUUCAGUCAUUUUAGAUAAUGUAGCUGAACAAGAACACGUCAGAAAGAGACUAAAUUAUUGAGAUUUUGCCUAAAUGACACAGGGUUGACAUGGAACUACUUUUUCUUCUGCCUGGUAAGAGUGUAGUACAUAUUUUGCUCAGUCAGUCAAUCUGUUUCAGCUUUCAUUUUAUAGUAGUUCUUAAAAAUUACUCAAGGAUAUACAGUAUAUCAGUGGGGUUAUUACUUUACCAUUAUUAUUUUUUGAGUUUGCAACAUUUUCACAUAUCUUGUAUGAUUUUUGCUGUAGUUAAAAUAGCAGCUUUAGGAAAUGACCCUGUUAUCUCAAAGUACUUCUGAGACUAAAAUGAAUAAAUUAGAGGUGAUGUCUGUCGCUCUUCUAAGGAAGCUAUGCUUUGAAAUACAACAAAUACUGUUAGAUCUAACAGGCAAACUAAGUGUUUUUGCACAAAGUAUCGGAUCGGUAUCGCUGAAAAAACUUUCAUUUUUCUCGGUAUUGGAUCGGAAAGGAAAUUGAUGGAAUCGAACAACGCUAGAUUCCGGCGUUUUGUGGUCAACAAGCCUGACGCCGGCAAACAUGUCGACCAAAGCUGACCAGUCGCAGGAAGGGAAGUACGAACAACGCAGGAGUCACACCGUCACUAGCGCUGACGCUAACGGCGGCGACAAAACGUGCUCACAGACCUAAUAGAAGUCAGACAUGACGCCUUCGAG